UCAUAAUUGUGGCCUAACUGGCCAUAAAGCAAGGGAAUGUAAACAACCCAAAAAACGAGUUCAAAGCAAGAGAAAAUGUUUCAAUUGUGGCAGACUGGGCCAUAUUGCACAUCAGUGCAAAAACCAAAAAAGGAAGCCGGCCC